UGUGGCACAUGACCAAGAACUACUUUAGAGCAUAUUAAGCCUAGUAAUGUUAAUUGUGGGUCAGCAUUCCUAGAUAGUGUCAAAGUAUUAUCCAAAGUGAUUUUACCAAUUAAUACUUGCAGCAGCAGGAGUGAACUGGGAAGAAAAGCUUUAAUAGCAGCAAUUAUUUAUAGCUAUCCUGGUAAACUCAAAAUCAUUUAGAACUUAAAUGCAAAGACUAGUGGACUUCAAGCAAACUAUGUAAGUUUCUUUAAAAAAAUCAAUAAUCUUUUUUCAUUGUUUGAGUAAAUCAUUAAAACUUUUGGAUACAAACUGAACAAUGUUAUAGAGAAUUUGAGAUUAUUUUCUGUAGCCACCAUAGAAAUUUGGUAGCAAAUGCGGAGUUUCCCCCCAUUAUAUUCACCUUAAAGAUGAGAAUGUGCCUAAUUAUUAGCUCUAUAAUCCCUUAUAAGUUGGUUAU
rnacentral:lncRNA from 1 species